rnacentral:rRNA from 1 species
CGAACGAUGAUUAUCAUAGCUUGCUAGAUAUGAUUAGUGGCGGACGGGUGAGUAACAUUUAGGAAUCUGCCUAGUAUUGGGGGAUAGCUCGGGGAAACUCGAAUUAAUACCGCAUACAACCUACGGGUGAAGGGGGGCGCAGGCUCUUGCUAUUAGAUGAGCCUAAAUCAGAUUAGCUAGUUGGUGGGGUAAAGGCCCACCAAGGCGACGAUCUGUAACUGGUCUGAGAGGAUGAUCAGUCACACCGGAACUGAGACACGGUCCGGACUCCUACGGGAGGCAGCAGUGGGGAAUAUUGGACAAUGGGGGCAACCCUGAAUCCAGGCCAUGCCGCGUUGUAGUGAAGAAGGCCUGUUUGGUUGUAAAGCACUUUAAGCAGGGAGGAGAGGCUUAAUGGUUAAUACCCAUUAUAUUAGACGUUACCUGCAGAAUAAGCACCGGCUAACUCUGUGCCAGCAGCCGCGGUAAUACAGAGGGUGCGAGCGUUAAUCGGAAUUACUGGGCGUAAAGCGAGUGUAGGUGGCUCAUUAAGUCACAUGUGAAAUCCCCGGGCUUAACCUGGGAACUGCAUGUGAUACUGGUGGUGCUAGAAUAUGUGAGAGGGAAGUAGAAUUCCAGGUGUAGCGGUGAAAUGCGUAGAGAUCUGGAGGAAUACCGAUGGCGAAUGCAGCUUCCUGGCAUAAUAUUGACACUGAGAUUCGAAAGCGUGGGUAGCAAACAGGAUUAGAUACCCUGGUAGUCCACGCCGUAGACGAUGUCUACUAGCCGUUGGGGUCCUUGAGACUUUAGUGGCGCAGUUAACCGCGAUAAGUAGACCGCCUGGGGAGUACGGCCGCAAGGUUAAAACUCAAAUGAAUUGACGGGGGCCCGCACAAGCGGUGGAGCAUGUGGUUUAAUUCGAUGCAACGCGAAGAACCUUACCUGGUCUAUGACAUAGUGAGAAUCCUGCAGAGAUGCGGGAGUGCCUUCGGGAAUUCACAUACAGGUGCUGCAUGGCUGUAGUCAGCUUGUGUCGUGAGAUGUUGGGUUAAGUCCCGCAACGAGCGCAACCCUUUUCCUUAUUUGCCAGCGGGUUAAGCCGGGAACUUUAAGGAUACUGCCAGUGACAAACUGGAGGAAGGCGGGGAGGACGUCAAGUCAUCAUGGCCCUUACGACCAGGGCUACACACGUGAUACAAUGGUAGGUACAGAGGGUUGCUACACAGCGAUGUGAUGUUAAUCUCAAAAAGCCUAUGGUAGUCCGGAUUGGAGUAUGCAACUCGACUCCAUGAAGUGGGAAUCGUUAGUAAUCGCAGAUCAGAAUGCUGCGGUGAAUACGUUCCCGGGCCUUGUACACACCGCCCGUCACACCAUGGGAGUUACUGCACCAGAAGUAUGAGUAGCCUAACGCAA